UCUACGGGAGGCUGCAGUGGGGAAUAUUGGACAAUGGGCGAAAGCCUGAUCCAGCCAUGCCGCGUGUGUGAAGAAGGCCUUCGGGUUGUAAAGCACUUUCAGUGGGGAAGAAAGCCUUGGGGCUAAUACCCUCGAGGAAGGACAUCACCCACAGAAGAAGCACCGGCUAACUCCGUGCCAGCAGCCGCGGUAAUACGGAGGGUGCGAGCGUUAAUCGGAAUUACUGGGCGUAAAGCGCGCGUAGGCGGUCUGAUAAGCCGGUUGUGAAAGCCCCGGGCUCAACCUGGGAACGGCAUCCGGAACUGUCAGGCUAGAGUGCAGGAGAGGAAGGUAGAAUUCCCGGUGUAGCGGUGAAAUGCGUAGAGAUCGGGAGGAAUACCAGUGGCGAAGGCGGCCUUCUGGACUGACACUGACGCUGAGGUGCGAAAGCGUGGGUAGCAAACAGGAUUAGAUACCCUGGUAGUC
rnacentral:rRNA from 1 species